rnacentral:lncRNA from 1 species
ACCAUGUCACUGCAUUUUAAGGCUGGAACUAAUUGUGAGGGGCAAAAAAGUUAACAUAAAUAUUCCCAGGUGUGACACUCUUCUGUUAAUUGGUUCAUAUCUUAGACUUUGUUUUGCCGAUGGGGAUAAUGGGUGUUGGGAAGAGAAACUAGACUGGUUUUCCAAAUAAAGCUUGAAAAGAGACUUUGGAGAGGGACAAAGAGGGGCAAUUUCUAGCUUGGUGGGAACAGAGAGAGCAGAUUUGGAGCAGCUGUGAUGAUGAGAAGAUUGUGGGGCCGUAGAGAGAAAAAGAGAAUCCUUGAGACAUAAGCUGUGUCAUAAUCAUCUAAGUUUUUCAGAAUUGAUUUUUGUUUCUUUCAGAUGUGGCACUCCUAGGAUUUGCCCAUGAGGCAUCCAGGAUUACUUGGAUUAUUAAAAAAUGCUGCCCUCACAUGUGUACAGCACUUUACAGUUUGGUAAGCAUUACCUCCCUUGAUUCUUACAAUAACACUAUGAUGUAUGAAGAAGAAAUUUAAGCAAGCUAACUCCAUAGAUUUCAUGGAGGUUUUGAGACUUUUCUGCAAUACACAACUUUUAAGAAGCCAGACCAGCACAAAAGCCCAGAUUCUCUGAUACCUCUGUCGAUAGGCUCCUCUGAAGGCUAUCCUUAAGAAUACAAGAGCAAAAGAUAGGCCAUAUUGGGCCGAUCUAACAGUUCCCUCCAUCAAAUGCUUCAUUUGAACAGGCUGGGGCCAGGGAUGUUUGGUAAAGGAGUGUGGCAGCUCCCUCUGCAACAUCAAAAGUCACGAACACCUCCAAACACCUCCAACCUCUCUUCAACAACCGAUCAACAAGCAGAGUCUGAGUUUGCGGGGUGUCGGCCAGGAAGAGGAUCCUUGCUUUUCUGAGAUGCUGAGAGAUGGUGGCAGUCCAGGCAGUGGGUCCACUGGGAGGAGUACGACUGAUGCCAGGAAGAUGCCUGCGUGUGUCCUGUGACUGUGGAGUCCCUGGAACAUUGUGGCUUGCUCCUGUGGGUACAGGGAGUGUCCCAGUCGGAGGGCAAUGGAGUCCUGCAGCUGCUCUUGCUUCUCGAGACUGAGCACGGAUUAUGAGAACCAGCCUGGGACUAACCAUAACAAGUAAGGCUGUUUCCAUGGGAAAAUAUAUGCUGAGUUCUCAACAGAUGACUGACUGGAACACCAGCUGGAGACUAACUGCAUGCCUAUGAGGUUACUGUUGAUCUCAGAGUGGUUUACUUUCAGUCUCAACCUUUUUGUGAAUCCCAGAUUCUAGGGGUAAGCUAUAAAAUUCCUCCUUUUCCUUCCUGUCUCCCAUUGGCCAUAUCUGGAGACACCAGGAGAGUAAAUAUGUUGGUGAAGACUUGUGUUAGUUGCUACAACGCCACAGGCUCGUGGUUAUGAAAGUGGCAUGCCACCAUUCCAUGCAGUGAUUCUCUCAUCAAACUUCUCCUUCAGAGCCUUUGAAUCGACUGGUGAUUCCACCCUCAUCUCCUUCUGACCAAAACUGCCCUUAAAAUGUGGAUGACAAAGGUCUUUACAGAGAGCAGUGAGGGUUACAUAGUGUUGUGUUCAGUGACACUUGCGUGAUGAGAGCAAUGAGCUUCAGCUUAGAAUCAGGAGAGGGCGAACCUGAUGCUUCCUCCUUUCAACUUGACUUUGGUUUUACCUACUUGAUCUGUGAGUCAGCUUCUGAGGAUAGAACAUAAAUUUUCUCCCUCUUCCUUUUCUCUCCCACACCAUCCCUCAAAUCUGCAUGCACUCAGAUGGAUGGUCUGACUUCACUGGGGGAGGAAAUCCCUCUAAUUUAGAUUUUGAAAGGAGUGGAAGGAGGGAGACAAAGGAUCAUUUUAGUGGGAAAUAAAGUAAGGAAUCUCCCCUCA